rnacentral:lncRNA from 1 species
AUUUCUGCCCCGUCUAAGCUCGGCUGGAAAAGUCUCCACAAACACACUCAGCAGCCUUCUCAUCUAAUCUCUCAGGCGGCUCUCAAUCCAGUCAACCUGGCGAUCAAGACAGACGAUCACAGAGGAUUCUGCUUUCUUUUGAACUCUGUGCCAGACACUGAAGAUCCACGACAAAUACUACAAGUUGUUGGCUGCAGGAAGCUUGUUUUUAGAGAGACAAAGGAGAGAUGGCGCAUUCUGCCUGGAAUGGAAAGAUUGUCUCUCAGCCUGCACAAUCUCAUGGCGACUAACUGAAGGUCCUUUGAUGAAGGAAGGAGGGGCUUAGAACCCUGGGCACCUGGAGCAGAGGCGAGGAAGACGCAGAGUGGAGCUGAAGUGAACUAGAGUCCUGGAACGCUCCUACUGUGCACGCAUUUGCAUCAGAGACAAGCUACUCAUCCUGCAGACACAGGCUGGAAGCCCACCCUACAUCUUUCUCCUACCCCCAGGAGAGCAACAGAAUCACCACAGGCUGCUGAUUCUUCAAAUGUGCGUUCUGAGCUCAGCACCACUGAUUUUCUCUCAGAUGAAAAGGAGCAAGCUGAGCAAGAAAAAAACACAAAAUGUACAGUUUGAGGACAGAGGGCACCAGGAAGCAUAAUGGAGCCAAGUCCUGUGCUCGAGGACAUGAACAGAUUAGGGAAAACCUGAUGCUAAAUGGAAUAAAGGGAGUGGUACCCUCAGUACAGGACCCGCCCAGCUAAGCUUCUGACUUGUGAAAAGGAAUUAAAGAAUAGUUCAGGCAGUGAAGGAAAACCAUUGAAGACAGAAAGCUGGUGAAGACGUAAUUGAACACAAGGCCAUGUUCCAGCCCCAGCAAGCAGCAGAACUUGACAGCUUCGGGGACAUAGUUCUGGAUUUCCAGACAAGGAUAGAAGAAAGGGGCCAUGGAAUCUCCCUUUGCAGCUAAACAAAGCCACUGAGGCCAGGCAAAUAUCAGGAGUGUCCUUGCAUGGAAGCCUAGAGAGGCCUCUGCAUGAAGCUAUGAAGGUGACUCCUAGAGCCCUCAGGAUGCUGGAGAUGCCAGCGCUGUGGGAUGUCUGCUGAAGUGUGCUGCAGGCAACAAAGCAGAGAGGAGUUAGAGAUCUGAAGAGAGCUUUGACAUCAGACAUGGAGAUAGCGAGUUGGAGUUUGCCCAGCCGUGAUUUGGCCCCGUGCUUCCUCACUCUGCUCCCCUUCUGACUUUUUGGAAUGGUCAUGUAUAUCCUGUGCCAUUGUAUGUUAGAAGUAUGUCAUCUGGCUUUCAAUUUUGAUUUUACAGGGGGCUACAUUUAAGAGACUGCUGUGAGUCUCAGAACAGGCUUUGGACUUUGGACUUUUAAACAGUGUUGAGACUGUUACAGACUAUGAGAACUUUUGAAAUUGGACUGAAUGCAUUUUUGUAUUCUGAUAUGGCUACAAACCUAUGGGGACCAGGGAGUGGGAUGUGGUGGUUUGAAUAGGAAUGGUCUGCCUAGGCUUAUAGAUUAAAAUGUUUGGUUGCUAGGGAGUGGCAAUAUUAGGAGGUGUGUCCUUGUUAGAGAAAGUAUGUCACUGGGGGUGGGCUUUGAGGUUUUAAAAAGCCCAAGCCCGGCCUAGUGGCUCUCUCUUCUUCCUGCUGCCUUUGGAUCUAAAGGUAGAACUCUCAGGUCCUCCAGCACCGUGUCUGCCUUCGUGCCGCCAUGCUGAUAAUGAACUAAAUCUCAGAGGACCAAACUUCUGAGGAGACAGAGGCGGCCAUGGAAUUAGCCUGUGUUUUUCCUGUGUUCAGGGUGUGGGGGUUGUUUUUAGGUUUUCUUUUCCAUUUUUUUUGGGAGGGAGGGGACUGUUAUGAACAAUGUUGUCAGGAGUACAUGGAUACACGUCCCUUGGUAUACACGUGGAAAUGCGACUCAGAUAGCAGAUACGUGGGAGAGGGAUUGCUAGGUCAUAGACCAGCAUCAGUGCUAGGUGAGACUCAAUGACGUUUUCAAGGGUCUGUACUGCUGUGCUUUCCUCCCUAUUUAUGGACGGACUCUUGCACACAUCUUUACCUGUACUUCACAACACUGUUCUUCUACAUUGUAACACUUCUAGGUCUGGCAAGGAAAUGAACUAUAACCUUAUUCUCCAUAUUGUGUAUAAAAUAGUUGUGAGCCAUUCGUGGGGCUCUGAGUUUAAAAUGUCAUGCUUUUGCUAGGCUUUUUUUGUAUAUGCCAGGUGGUCGGCUGGUUGGACAGAACAUAAUUUUAAAGUAUCUAACUUUAACUAACUUUUUCCUUGGGGUCAGUGCUCUUUGUGUCUCUUUUUAAGUCAUUUUUUUUCCAGGACAAGUUUUUGGAAUCCAUGUAAAUAUGAAAGAAAGAUAUGACUCCACAAAGUUGUCUUCUAACCUUCACACACAUGCCUUACCUCCUGGGUCAUCACACACACACACACACACACACACACACACACACACACUUAAUAAAACUAAAGAUCUCUUUUUGCCAUCAAGGUAGCCUCCACAUUAACACCAAAUGUUUCAUGGCUACCAUGUCUUUAACUCACAAGCUAGGCUGGGAACACAGACUUUCACUGACACCUCUUCUAUAAAUCGAGCACUUAUUAUAGGCAUAGCUUGAUUUCUGAUCUUUAUUCUGACUCCUUUGCUGAGGUUUACCUUAUUGUUGUUAUGUAUAUGAUGUCCCAGUGUGAGUUUGCACAUGUGCAUGCAAUUCUGGGGCAGACAGGAGACAGUGUCAGAUUCCCUGAAGGCAGAGUUUCAGUUCAUGUGUUAGGAACUGAACCCAGGUCCUUCCCAAGAGCAGUACACACUGUAUACUGAGCCAUCUCUGCUCCUGUUUUCUUCCACUCCAUUGACCUGUUUGCUGAUCUAUCUUUGUGUCACACUACUAUCCUGGUAUAUUUACUUGGUUUAACUUUAUUCUUCCAAAACUACAAUGGAGUGCUCUAUCUGCAGAAUAGGUUCGCAUAUCUGAUUCUUUGCUAAGAAUAUCUUGGCUGUACCACAGCACUUUUUGUUUUCAUGUAACCAUUAGAACCACUUUGUUAAUUUGUAAGAAAAAGAGACUAUCAGAAUUACACAGGAUCUAUAAAUUAGGAGGAAUGACAGUUUUGCGAUAUUCAGUCUUCCAAUGCAUGUAAAUGGUUUAUUGCUUCA